AACGAACGCUGGCGGCAGGCUUAACACAUGCAAGUCGAACGCCCCGCAAGGGGAGUGGCAGACGGGUGAGUAACGCGUGGGAAUCUACCCAGAUCUACGGAACAACAGUUGGAAACGACUGCUAAUACCGUAUACGCCCUACGGGGGAAAGAUUUAUCGGAUUUGGAUGAGCCCGCGUUGGAUUAGCUAGUUGGUGGGGUAAUGGCCUACCAAGGCGACGAUCCAUAGCUGGUCUGAGAGGAUGAUCAGCCACACUGGGACUGAGACACGGCCCAGACUCCUACGGGAGGCAGCAGUGGGGAAUAUUGGACAAUGGGCGCAAGCCUGAUCCAGCCAUGCCGCGUGAGUGAUGAAGGCCUUAGGGUUGUAAAGCUCUUUCACCGAUGAAGAUAAUGACGGUAGUCGGAGAAGAAGCCCCGGCUAACUUCGUGCCAGCAGCCGCCGCAGUAA
rnacentral:rRNA from 1 species